AGGCCUGCCCCUGAACAGCAUUACAUCGGUAUUGGGUCGCUUAUUCCGUUACAAAAGCCUGGCAAAUCAAGGGGACCAGUCGCUCACCUACGGCCCGUGGUUUUACUCACAGCGCUCAGGAAGAUUCUAUCAUUGAUUGUGCUGCGGAGGAUCAACAAGGACGUCAACAACUUCGUUGCACACACACAGAGUGGUUUCCGCCCCAGCAGAAGCACCACAGAUGUUGUGUGGUCAUACCGAUGGUUGGCGGCUCGAUGCCAACGCUAUCGCUGUGCGCUGGAUAUCCUAGGCAUUGAUAUGUCAAAAGCGUUUGACUGUAUAAGCAGGCCACGGCUCAUCUCGGUGCUGGGAUCGUUCUUGCAGCCGGAUGAAAUCCGAAUGAUCAGUUACCUCCUCCAGGACACCGUACUGCGGGUUGUACUCCCAUCCGCUAAGGGCCCGUCAUUCCCCACUCUCCGCGGCACACCCCAAGGUGACUCGUUGUCUCCUGUUCUUUUCAUUGUGUACCUUGAGGGUGCGCUGCGUGAUGUCCGGCCUCUUCUUCUACCACGUCCCCCUGCCGAUAUCUCCCUGGGGUUACCAACUGAAACUGCCUACGCCGACGAUGUGGAUUUCGUGACUACUGAUGGUGAGAGGCUGAGGACCCUCCUUCCAACCAUAUCCAACAAGCUCCUCGAAUGGGAUUUGAAAGUGAAUGAGACCAAAACAGAGCACACGCACAUCGAACGGCACACUGAUCGCAUCGAGGAGGAGUGGCGAACCACCAAGAAACUCGGGUUCCUAUUAGGUGAUGCCGAGGAUAUGCUACGGCGACAGCAACUGGCAACUGGUUGCCUUUGGUAAACUCUGGACGCUGUGGAUCCGUAGGUCGCUAGUUUCGGAGGAUCUCCGCAUCCGGCUCUAUAAUGCCUUUGUACUCCCUGUACUCUGCUACAAUUGUGCAACAUGGGCACCAACGAAACAGCAGCUGAGCCGUAUUGAGGCCUUCCACCGAAAACAGCUGCGGGCGCUAAUCGGCAUUGUGUUCCCGAAUCGGAUUAGGAACGAGAGGCUCUAUGAGCGUACCGGCGCGGUUCCUCUCUACUCGGCAUUAUCAUCUUGAGAGCUAGGUGGAGGCUCUUUGGGCACGUCCUCCGGCUCCCGGCUGACUCCCCACCAUCACUGGCCAUGGGAGCGUACUUCGCAGAGCCUCGUCCAGCGGGCUGGAGGGGACGACCAAGACACACACUACCAACGCUACUACAAGAUGAUGCCAAGCGGAUUGGACUUUCCUUGUCAAGCAAAGUCGAUCUGGAGGCGUUCCGUGCCCUUGCUGCUGACCGAAGCGGUUGGGUGGGCAUCUGUGCCCGAGUGGUGUCGGCACCCUGGUUUUUGUCUUCUUUUCGCAUAUUUCUUCUUUUUCUGAAACUGUUAUGGUCUUUUGUAUCUAUUCGAAGUGGCUUAUGCGAACAUCUUUGGCUGGUUUGCUUGAUUUGCAUGCCCAUUAAAGGGGCACUCCGGCUUCAUUUUCGACGCCGAGUUUUCGAUGGCAAGACGAAGGUAGGUGAAAGAGAAGACCCCUCGAACAAGAACGAGUCUCCAGAAGCGAUCGAGUCGAGCGGGAAGACGACUUUUGAAUUUCGCCGAGCGAGCGCUGAUGACGUAAUGAGGGAUUAGCUUGCCGGUGGAAAUGCACCUACGCACAUACAUUUCACAUACUUUUUGGCCAAUUUUCAAUCGAAGAGGAGGUUGUUUUCUAUGUUCUCCCAACGUUGUGAGCGAUCCCGUCUUCUAUACCCUUCCAGGUAUCCUGAGGGUCCUCCAGAGGAGAAUUUAUCUCCAGCAAAGCGUUGUUGAUCCGCUAAAUUCGUCUCGAGACAUAUUCACCCAGUACAGAUACCGGUAAAUGUAGAAUGUUGAAUCUGUGAUAAUUGUUGACGAUGGAGAGAGAGGCUAAUAGCCGCUGUCGCAGGGAGAGUGAAGCUGCUGGAAGUAACAACGGGGAGCCCGUUAGCAUCACAUGAGCACCCAGACUUCAAAGCAGCUUGACCAAAUCGGAGGGUGCUGACUAUUUCCCUCGUUGUGUAUCGUGAAUAUUACACCAACAUGAAUUACUACACGUACGUAUGCUGGUCUGUCCAAUAUGCAUUGACCGCAGUGGGUAUGGUUUCUGCUCUGAGAAGGGAAUCGCUGGAGCCACAGUCCAGCUAAACAGGCUUGCAAGAAAGAGAGAGGAGCCAUCUUGUCAAGGCUGAUACCUGAUGUGUACCGACAGAAUUCUCACGAGAUACCUCACAGACUACGUCUGGUGUAUACUUCAUAGUACUCCUUCGACUACUGUUUAGAAUCAAGUCGACGGAAACAACUCGACUUCAAACGAGCCGUCGAUUAGACAAACAAAGCCUUCUCUUAUAUAAUUGAUCACUUUGACAACUCAUGACCUAUUCCUAACGAUUGCCACCGCUUAUAAAGGUGUGGAGUGCUGUUUGGAAUGUGCUCACAAUCUCAAUAAUUCAGUGCUCUAAUUAUUUGUACAAUGUGUUGGAAAUUAUUCCAUUUUUCCUUCCAUAAAUGUUGUAUCCACGGAUAAUCCACAGUGUUGCAAAGUUUCAGAGUUCUCAGGGUAUCAAGCAAAUUAUUCCAAAUACAGUGAAAUUGCUAGUGGACAUUAUAGCGUUACUUGUAGUUCCCUGGUCCUUUUCUUUGCUGUAAAUUAAUCAUUGGCCCUCUA